AAGGCGGUUUUCUGGGCUGUUGGCUGACACUGAGGAGCGAAAGCUAGGGGAGCGAACAGGAUUAGAUACCCUGGUAGUCUUAGCUGUAAACGAUGGACACUAGGUGUGGGGGAGUUAUCGACGCUCUCCGUGCCGAAGCAAACGCAUUAAGUGUCCCGCCUGGGGAGUACGGUCGCAAGACUAAAACUCAAAGGAAUUGACGGGGGGGCCCGCACAAGCGGCGGGAGCAUGUGGCUUAAUUGGACGCAACGCGAAGAACCUUACCAAGGUUUGACACCAUAUUGAAGUUAGUAGAAAUAUUAACGCCCGCAAGGGCAGUAUGACAGGUGGUGCAUGGUUGUCGUCAGCUCGUGUCGUGAGAUGUUGGGUUAAGUCCCGCAACGAGCGCAACCCUCGUCCCAUGUUGCCAUCAGGUUAAGCUGGGCACUCUUGGGAUACUGCCAGUGUAAAACUGGAGGAAGGUGGGGAUGACGUCAAAUCAUCAUGCCCUUUAUAUCUUGGGCUGCACACGUGCUACAAUGGCCUGUACAAAGAGCUGCGAUACCGCGAGGUGGAGCGAAUCUCAAAAAACAGGUCUAAGUCCAGAUUGAAGGCUGAAACUCGCCUUCAUGAAGUCGGAGUCGCUAGUAAUCGUGGAUCAGCACGCCACGGUGAAUACGUUCCCGGGCCUUGUACACACCGCCCGUCACACCACGAAAAUCGGAUACACCCGAAGCCAGUGGGCUAACCCGCAAGGGAGGCAGCUGUCGAAGGUGGAGUCGGUGAUUGGGGGGAAGUCGUAACAAGGUAAAGGGCG
rnacentral:rRNA from 1 species